rnacentral:rRNA from 1 species
GACGAACGCUGGCGGCGUGCUUAACACAUGCAAGUCGAACGGAAAGGCCCUGCUUUUGUGGGGUGCUCGAGUGGCGAACGGGUGAGUAACACGUGAGUAACCUGCCCUUGACUUUGGGAUAACUUCAGGAAACUGGGGCUAAUACCGGAUAGGAGCUCCUGCUGCAUGGUGGGGGUUGGAAAGCUUCGGCGGUUGGGGAUGGACUCGCGGCUUAUCAGCUUGUUGGUGGGGUAGUGGCUUACCAAGGCUUUGACGGGUAGCCGGCCUGAGAGGGUGACCGGCCACAUUGGGACUGAGAUACGGCCCAGACUCCUACGGGAGGCAGCAGUGGGGAAUAUUGCACAAUGGGCGGAAGCCUGAUGCAGCAACGCCGCGUGCGGGAUGACGGCCUUCGGGUUGUAAACCGCUUUCGCCUGUGACGAAGCGUGAGUGACGGUAAUGGGUAAAGAAGCACCGGCUAACUACGUGCCAGCAGCCGCGGUGAUACGUAGGGUGCGAGCGUUGUCCGGAUUUAUUGGGCGUAAAGGGCUCGUAGGUGGUUGAUCGCGUCGGAAGUGUAAUCUUGGGGCUUAACCCUGAGCGUGCUUUCGAUACGGGUUGACUUGAGGAAGGUAGGGGAGAAUGGAAUUCCUGGUGGAGCGGUGGAAUGCGCAGAUAUCAGGAGGAACACCAGUGGCGAAGGCGGUUCUCUGGGCCUUUCCUGACGCUGAGGAGCGAAAGCGUGGGGAGCGAACAGGCUUAGAUACCCUGGUAGUCCACGCUGUAAACGGUGGGUACUAGGUGUGGGGUCCAUUCCACGGGUUCCGUGCCGUAGCUAACGCUUUAAGUACCCCGCCUGGGGAGUACGGCCGCAAGGCUAAAACUCAAAGGAAUUGACGGGGCCCCGCACAAGCGGCGGAGCAUGCGGAUUAAUUCGAUGCAACGCGUAGAACCUUACCUGGGUUUGACAUGGAUCGGGAGUGCUCAGAGAUGGGUGUGCCUCUUUUGGGGUCGGUUCACAGGUGGUGCAUGGCUGUCGUCAGCUCGUGUCGUGAGAUGUUGGGUUAAGUCCCGCAACGAGCGCAACCCUUGUUCACUGUUGCCAGCACGUUAUGGUGGGGACUCAGUGGAGACCGCCGGGGUCAACUCGGAGGAAGGUGGGGAUGACGUCAAGUCAUCAUGCCCCUUAUGUCCAGGGCUUCACGCAUGCUACAAUGGCUGGUACAGAGAGUGGCGAGCCUGUGAGGGUGAGCGAAUCUCGGAAAGCCGGUCUCAGUUCGGAUUGGGGUCUGCAACUCGACCUCAUGAAGUCGGAGUCGCUAGUAAUCGCAGAUCAGCAACGCUGCGGUGAAUACGUUCCCGGGGCU